GUCUACGACCAUACUACCCUGAAUGCACCCGAUCCUGUCUGAUCUCGGAAGCUAAGCAGGGUCAAACCUGGUUAGUACUAGGAUGGGAGAAAAUGCAAAUGGACAUAGGUG
rnacentral:rRNA from 1 species